rnacentral:rRNA from 1 species
UACGGGGGGGGGCAAGCGUUGUUCGGAAUUACUGGGCGUAAAGGGCGCGUAGGCGGCCUGCUAAGUCGGAUGUGAAAUCCCUCGGCUCAACCGAGGAACUGCAUCCGAUACUGGCGGGCUUGAAUCCGGGAGAGGGAUGUGGAAUUCCAGGUGUAGCGGUGAAAUGCGUAGAUAUCUGGAGGAACACCGGUGGCGAAGGCGGCAUCCUGGACCGGUAUUGACGCUGAGGCGCGAAAGCCAGGGGAGCAAACGGG